rnacentral:rRNA from 1 species
GACGAACGCUGGCGGCGUGCCUAACACAUGCAAGUCGAACGCGUCUGUGCUUCGGCACAGAUGAGUGGCGAACGGGUGAGUAACGCGUGAGUAACUCCCCUUGGGGAGGGGGAUAACCAUCUGAAAAGGUGGCUAAUACCCCAUAUUCUCUUUUCUCAUAAGAGGAAGGAGGAAGGGUGGCGCAAGCUGCCACCCCGAGAGAGGCUCGCGUCCCAUCAGCUAGUUGGUAGGGUAAUGGCCUACCAAGGCUAUGACGGGUAGCUGGUCUGAGAGGAUGGUCAGCCACACUGGGACUGAGACACGGCCCAGACUCCUACGGGAGGCAGCAGUGAGGAAUCUUGGGCAAUGGGCGAAAGCCUGACCCAGCGACGCCGCGUGGAGGAAGAAGGCCUUCGGGUCGUAAACUCCUGUUUGGGGAGAAGAACAAGAGAGAAGUUAAUAGCUUCUCUCUCUGACGGUAUCCCCGGAAAAAGCUCCGGCUAAUUACGUGCCAGCAGCCCGCGGUAAUACGUAAGGAGCGAGCGUUGUCCCGGAUUUACUGGGCCGUAAAGGGCUCGUAGGUGGUUU